rnacentral:rRNA from 1 species
UACGUAGGGGGCAAGUGUUGUCCGGAUUCAUUGGGCGUAAAGAGCGUGUAGGCGGCCAGGUAGGUCGGUUGUGAAAACUGGAGGCUCAACCUUCAGAGGUCGACCGAAACCAUCUGGCUAGAGUCCGGGAGAGGAGAGUGGAAUUCCUGGUGUAGCGGUGAAAUGCGCAGAUAUCAGGAAGAACACCCGUGGCGAAAGCGGCUCUCUGGAACGGUACUGACGCUGAGACGCGAAAGCGUGGGGAGCAAACAGG